rnacentral:rRNA from 1 species
AUUGAACGCUAGCGGGAUGCCUUACACAUGCAAGUCGAACGGAGUGGCGAACGGGUGAGUAAUGUAUCGGAACGUGCCCAGUAGCGGGGGAUAACUACGCGAAAGCGUAGCUAAUACCGCAUACUAUUGGAGCGGCCGAGAUCGGGUUAGCUAGUUGGUGGGGGAACGGCUCACCACGGCGCCGAUCCGUAGCUGGUUUGAGAGGACGACCAGCCACACUGGGCAUGGGAGGCGGCCCAGACUCCUGCGGGCGGCAGAGGGUGGGAACUUUGGACAAUGGGGGAGACCCUGUUCCAGGCGUCCCGGGUGUGAGAUGAAGGCCUUCGGGUUUUAAGGCACUUUUGGCAGGAAAGCGGUACCUGCAGGAUGAGCACCGGCUAACUACGUGCAAGCAGCCGCGGUAAUAC